UUUGGUCUUUUUCAUUCAGCAGCUAGGGUUUUCGAGAAACCGUAGCGCCGCCUAGAGGCGAUGGCCUCUCUCUUGCGUCACUAUUGCCAUUACCGGAAAGUUUACAAGCAUAGUACACCUUUACCAGGUCUGGUAUAGCCGGAUCGAGCAAAAUCAUUUAAUGCUUCACCCCUCUCUCAUCAAACACGACCCAAGCACGGUACAUCACUCUUCCUGUUUUACUUUUUCUGAUAAAUUGGGGUUAAUGAGACGAAUCCCAUUUGAACUCUCAAAUCCCAUUGCUUGGUCCAAAACCAACCAGAUCCGUUGAGAAUUCUUCAAAUCUAGCCUUUCAUGCAUUUUUCAUCUUAAAUCGUGACCCUUGAUUGUUGAAACAAGGUUUAUUCCUAGAAAUUUGGUGGAAGUCCCACAUCGAUUUGGGGCUAGGGUUUGGGAAUUUCGGGGGUUUUAUAUAAAGAACCUCAUUUCUACCAUUUUACAUACUUGGAGACACAGAAUAUAACAUAUAUUCACAAAAAUUCGAGUUUCUUAAGUUUUGGCAUACUUUGCCUUGAAACUUUAAUUUUUCAAGUUAAGUUAAAAUUUUAAAAUAUUUUCUUUGUUCUUGUGUGGCUUGAGCAUUUGGGUUAAGGAAGCAAGGAUCUUCCAAGUUCAAUCUCGACCGUUGGUUGCGCUCCCAAGAGGCUUGAGGACCAACUUUCUUUCUUUGAUAGAGUCCGAAGAGAAGUAAGGGAAGCUAAUAUUACGAAGGCCCAUCCAUGGGUAAAAAUGAUCGCCGGUGGGUUUUGGGUAGGCCCACCAGUUCAAUUCUCAUCCUUUUCCUUCUCCUUUUAUCUUAUAUGCCAUGUGUGUAUAUAUAUUGUAUAUGUGAACAAAUGUGUAAAAUAUUGAAACCCUUUAUAUGCUUAGAACAUAGAAAAAACUCUAGUAUUAUUAGGAAGUCGCUAAAACUAUUUUCAAAACUCGCCUAAUUCUCUAGCAUAUGCACGAAAUCAGUAAUUAGCUAUAAGAUUCCUUAA